CCCAGAACUGAGCCCUGGGGGACUCCACUAGGGACCGGCCUCCAACUGGAUUUGACUCCAUUCACCAUGACUCUUUGGGCCCGGCUACUCAGCCGGUUUCUGACCCAACGAAGCAUACACCAGUCUAAGCCAUGAGCAGCCAGUUUCUCAAGGAGAAUGCUGUGGGAAACGGUGUCAAAAGCCUUACUGGAGUCAAGGUGGACUACAUCCAUAGCCUUUCUUUCAUCCACCAAGUGCGUCACUUUGUCAUAUAAGGAGAUCAGGUUCGUCAAGCAGGGCCUGCCUUCCAUAAACCCAUGCUGACUGGGCUUGAUUGCCUGGUUGCCCUGAAAGUGCCACGUGUCAAUCAAUUCCAGA